UACGGAGGGUGCGAGCGUUGUCCGGAAUCACUGGGCGUAAAGCGCGCGUAGGCGGAUUUGUAAGUCAGGGGUGAAAUCCCGGGGCUCAACCUCGGAACUGCCUUUGAUACUGCGAAUCUUGAGUCCGAUAGAGGUGGGUGGAAUUCCUAGUGUAGAGGUGAAAUGACGCAGAUAUCAGGAAGAACACCUAUGGCGAAGGCAGCUCUCUGGGACGGUACCGACGCUGAGACGCGAAAGCGUGGGGAGCGAACAGG
rnacentral:rRNA from 1 species